CGCGUAGGCGGUUCGGUAAGUUGCUGGUGAAAUCCCGGGGCUCAACUCCGGGGCUGCCGGCAAGACUGUCGGACUCGAGCACGGUAGAGGCAGAUGGAAUUCCCGGUGUAGCGGUGGAAUGCGUAGAUAUCGGGAAGAAUACCAGUGGCGAAGGCGUUCUGCUGGGCCGUUGCUGACGCUGAGGCGCGACAGCGUGGGGAGCAAACAGGAUUAGAUACCCUGGUAGUCCACGCCGUAAACGAUGGACACUAGGCGUCGGGGGGAGCGACCCUCCCGGUGCCGUCGCUAACGCAGUAAGUGUCCCGCCUGGGGAGUACGGCCGCAAGGCUGAA
rnacentral:rRNA from 1 species